rnacentral:misc_RNA from 1 species
AAAAGAAAGUAUUUCCAAUAAUGCGGAAUGAUGAAAUUGCAAAAAUAGCCAUGAAAGAUAUUAUUAUUUGUAGCUAUGCUGAAUCUUUACUUCGUAAACAUAAAAGGCGUCAGAUAAAAAACGUUAUCUCAAACAAAAUGAGAGAACUGGGCCGUCUUUUAAUAAACAUAAAGCAAAUAGCUGACGUGCAGUGUCUAUUUGAGGUAUUGAAGCCCGAAAUGUUUGGAACUAUUGUUUCAGCAACAAAAGUAAUUUGCGGAUAUAAUGCAGAGACUCGUACAUUUACGGCAAGCAGUUUAGCUUUACAUAUGGGAACAACUCUUAAACAAGUUUGUGAUAUAGCUAAUAAGCUAAUUAUUGAAAAAAAUCCGUUACUCCCAUGCAUAGAUCAGGAGCAUUGCUUAAAGAACAUAAAACGAUUAAGGAAAUUAAUAGAAAGUCACUGGAACUAUGAAUUAGCAAGCUUAGCUUUAAAAAAUUUAAAUGAACAAACCUUUAUUAAACCUAAAUUUUUACCUGUAACUAGUGAUGUUAUGAAAUUUCAGACUUAUGUACUAAAUGAGGCUAAAGAGGCAUUUACUAAAUUAAAAGAAAAAAAUGGGAAUAAAAUUGAAUUUAGAAAAUUAUCAGAAUGUGUCUUGGGAUUAACCGUUUUAUUAAAUAGAAAGCGGAUAAGCGAGAUUCAACAUUUGACUGUUAAUGCGUAUAAUACCAUGACUACACAAUCUCAGCAAGAAGAGUUUAUUAAAGGGCUUACAGAAAGUGAACAAAUUUUAACAAGGAACUUUAAGCGAGUUGUUACUUUGGGUAAAGGAAGCAAGCCAGUACCCAUAUUAUUUUCAUCACAUUUGCAAGAGUUUAUCAAUAUUAUGUUGUAUGUCAGACAUUUAUAUGUGUCUGAAAAAAACGAAUAUCUGUUUGCUAACCCAAACACCGAAAGAUCAGCGGCUAUAAUACUUUAAAAAAACUAGCCAAAAAAUCAGGCGUUUCAGAUGAUGGUCUGUUUACAUCAACUCGCUUAAGGAAACAAAUUUCAACCAUACCACAAGUUCUGAAUAUCUCGGAAAACGAAAUGGAACAAUUUGCAUCUUUCAUGGGGCAUACCAAAAAGACUCAUGAAAAUUAUUACAGGCUUCCGCAAGACAUCUAUCAGACUGCAAAAGUCUCAAAAUUGCUAUUGGCCAUAAAUAGCGGAAAAGCCCAAGCUUAUAAGGGAAAAUCAUUAGAUGAAAUUGAACUUUCUGAUGGUAUAGAAACUGACUCGGAUUUGGAGUUAACUAAAGAUCAACACAGAGGUGGCGAACCGACAGAAAAAUGGAACGAUUGUUGCGAUGAAUCAAAAGAAGAAAGCAUUAUUGAGAAUACUAUGGAACAGAUAGCUGGAUUGCAAAGUCAGAAAGAAGGUAAAAGUAAGUAUUAUUCAGAGACAAAAAAGAGUACUCAGGAUAAAAAAAUCACUAGGACAAGGUGGCUUGAAGAAGAUAAAAAAAUAGUAAGAGGUUAUGUUCAAGACCAUAUCAAAAACAAAAAGGCUCCAAAAAAACAUGAAGUAGAAACAUUUUUAGACCAUCAUAAAAGUUUCCUUAAAAAGACCAACUGGGUGAAAUUGAAGCCGUUCGUUUGCAACUGUUACAAAUAAAAAAGUGGUUUGUUUGUUUUUUCUUUAGGUUACUCUAAGAUAGAUAAUAAUUAUAAGUUAUUCUAUAUUAAAAUAUGA